rnacentral:rRNA from 1 species
AGUAUUGCGCAAUGGAGGAAACUCUGACGCAGCGACGCCGCGUGAGCGAUGAAGGUCUUCGGAUCGUAAAGCUCUGUCCUUGGGGAAGAAGAUCGAAAGAUUUGACGGUACCCGAGGAGGAAGCCCCGGCCAACUACGUGCCAGCAGCCGCGGUAAUACGUAGGGGGCAAGCGUUGUCCGGAUUUAUUGGGCGUAAAGCGCGCGCAGGCGGUUUUUUAAGUCUGACGUGAAAUCUUACAGCUUAACUGUAAGCGGUCAUUGGAAACUGGGAGACUUGAGUGCAGAAGUGGAGAGUGGAAUUCCAUGUGUAGCGGUGAAAUGCGUAGAGAUAUGGAGGAACACCAGUGGCGAAGGCGACUCUCUGGUCUGUAACCGACGCUGAGUCACGAAAGCGUGGGUAGCAAACA